UCAUAUGAAGUGUCAGGAAUUGAUAAAAUUGGAAGUCGAAACACAAACCAAAAGUUUCAUGAGAUCCUAAAUGCCUGGGUGAUUGACUAUCCCUGCAGAUUGCAAACACGCAUUAAUUACUCUUCCGUACUUCUAAAAAUUAUGAAAAUAAAUGUUUUCGUAUUAAUAUACACUUCAGUUCUCCAAUCCGGCAAAUAUGUUGAUAUUCAAAAUCUGUUGAAUAUGUUAAUAUAUAAGUGGAAAGACUUAGUGAUUGGGUUGAAUUGGCCCGAAAGUGGAGGCGGCAGCGGCCAGUGCAUGGUGCCAAGACUGGGACUAUGAAGGGUAGACUUACCGUAGGCCCAAGGCUAUUGACUUGACAACGAAGAGGGGAUUAAGGCCGGGUAUGUUAUAGAAGAUUUUAGGAAAUUCAGUAGAGGUGCGAAAGAGAAGGGGUGUCGGUGAUCAUGUUUUGCAGCGAAAUGGUGCUGGAGAUAAAAAAAUGUAGGCUGUAAUUUUGUUAU
rnacentral:lncRNA from 1 species